AGACCCCUUGAGCCAUGCUAACACAUGUGUGCUGUCUUGCCAGCACGGCGAGACUCUGAGGGUGGCUGGAUGUGUGCCCAUGCCCCCACUCAGGUGUGCCCUAUUCGUCUCUGGGAAGAAGAGGAACAGCUGUUCUUUCUCCUCACAAGAGAAAACCGAGGAAAUGGAAUUAGCCUGCAGAUGAAUGAUUUAAGUUUGCUCUGGAGGGAAGCAAGCUUAUAUAAGGGUUAUUAAGCACUGAGAUGGGCUAAGAGGAUUACCAAGAGGACAUUUUAGUGAUCUGUGUCCCUGGAUGUUUGCAAAAAGGUCCAGGUCUUGAGUUGAGGAGGAGGGAAAGGAUUGUGUCCAGGAUCACAGUCAUUUUUCAGAACAAAUCAGCCUUCUGAUGUUCUACCUUCUGUGCAAAAAGACACCGAACCAAGAGGCUGACAACCAUCUCCUAGAACAACAACAACAACAACAACAACAAUAAAAAAGCUAAGACAUCAAGUCAGUAACACACCCAACAGCUAUGUUCACAUGAGUCCAAAUGUUCAGAGAAACCCACUGGAAAAUGAAAAUGACUAAGUUCGGUAUCCAACAAAGAGAUCUUCUUUAGUUAAA